GACGAACGCUGGCGGCGUGCCUAAUACAUGCAAGUAGAACGCUGAAGGAGGAGCUUGCUUCUCUGGAUGAGUUGCGAACGGGUGAGUAACGCGUAGGUAACCUGCCUGGUAGCGGGGGAUAACUAUUGGAAACGAUAGCUAAUACCGCAUAAUAGUAGAUGUUGCAUGACAUUUGCUUAAAAGGUGCAAUUGCAUCACUACCAGAUGGACCUGCGUUGUAUUAGCUAGUUGGUGAGGUAACGGCUCACCAAGGCAACGAUACAUAGCCGACCUGAGAGGGUGGUCGGCCACACUGGGACUGAGACACGGCCCAGACUCCUACGGGAGGCAGCAGUAGGGAAUCUUCGGCAAUGGACGGAAGUCUGACCGAGCAACGCCGCGUGAGUGAAGAAGGUUUUCGGAUCGUAAAGCUCUGUUGUAAGAGAAGAACGAGUGUGGGAGUGGAAAGUUCACACUGUGACGGUAUCUUACCAGAAAGGGACGGCUAACUACGUG
rnacentral:rRNA from 1 species